GUUAGGAAUCUUCCACAAUGGGGGCAACCCUGAUGGAGCAACACCGCGUGCUGGAUGAAGGCCUUCGGGUCGUAAACAGCUUUUGUAUACGAAGAAUAUGACGGUAAUAUACGAAUAAGGGUCGGCUAACUACGUGCCAGCAGCCGCGGUCAUACGUAGGACCCAAGCGUUAUCCGGAGUGACUGGGCGUAAAGAGUUGCGUAGGCGGCUUAUUAAGCGAGUAGUGAAAUCUGGUGGCUCAACCAUCAACACAUUGCUCGAACUGAUAGGCUUGAGAAUGGUAGAGGUAGUUGGAAUUUCUUGUGUAGGAGUGAAAUCCGUAGAUAUAAGAAGGAACACCAAUGGCGUAGGCAGGUUACUGGGCCAUUUCUGACGCUAAGGCACGAAAGCGUGGGGAGCGAACCGGAUUAGAAACCCGUGUAGUCC
rnacentral:rRNA from 1 species